UGGGGAAUCUUCCGCAAUGGGCGAAAGUCUGACGGAGCAACGCCGCGUGUAUGAUGAAGGUCUUCGGAUUGUAAAGUACUGUCAUUGGGGAAGAACGGUUUUCUUGAAAAGAUUGAGAAGACAUGACGGUACCCAAGGAGGAAGCCCCGGCUAACUACGUGCCAGCAGCCGCGGUAAUACGUAGGGGGCAAGCGUUGUCCGGAAUUAUUGGGCGUAAAGGGCGCGUAGGCGGGCCUUUAAGUCCGGUGUGAAAGAUCAGGGCUCAACCCUGAGAGUGCAUCGGAAACUGGAGGCCUUGAGGACAGGAGAGGAAAGUGGAAUUCCACGUGUAGCGGUGAAAUGCGUAGAUAUGUGGAGGAACACCAGUGACGAAGGCGACUUUCUGGACUGUAACUGACGCUGAGGCGCGAAAGCGUGGGGAGCAAACAGGUUAGANACCCUGGUAGUCCACGCCGUAAACGAUGNGUGCUAGGUGUAGAGGGUAUCACCCCGUUCUGUGCGCAGUUAACANAAUAAGCACUCCCGCCUGGGGAGUACGGCC
rnacentral:rRNA from 1 species